rnacentral:rRNA from 1 species
GAUGAACGCUGGCGGCGUGCUUAACACAUGCAAGUCGAACGAUGAACCUCACUUGUGGGGGGAUUAGUGGCGAACGGGUGAGUAACACGUGAGUAACCUGCCCUUAACUCUGGGAUAAGCCUGGGAAACUGGGUCUAAUACCGGAUAUGACUCCUCAUCGCAUGGUGGGGGGUGGAAAGCUUUAUUGUGGUUUUGGAUGGACUCGCGGCUUAUCAGCUUGCUGGUGAGGUAAUGGCUCACCAAGGCGACGACGGGUAGCCGGCCUGAGAGGGUGACCGGCCACACUGGGACUGAGACACGGCCCAGACUCCUACGGGAGGCAGCAGUGGGGAAUAUUGCACAAUGGGCGAAAGCCUGAUGCAGCGACGCCGCGUGAGGGAUGACGGCCUUCGGGUUGUAAACCU